rnacentral:rRNA from 1 species
UACGUAGGGGGCAAGCGUUGUCCGGAAUUACUGGGCGUAAAGAGCUCGUAGGCGGCCUGUUACGUCUGCUGUGAAAUCCCGGGGCUUAACCCCGGGCGUGCAGUGGAUACGGGCAGGCUGGAGGCAGGCAGGGGAGAACGGAAUUCCCAGUGUAGCGGUGAAAUGCGCAGAUAUCGGGAGGAACACCGGUGGCGAAGGCGGCGAUCUGGGUCGAUACUGACGCUGAGGUGCGAAAGCGUGGGGAGCAAACAGG